rnacentral:rRNA from 1 species
UACGAAGGGGGCUAGCGUUGCUCGGAAUCACUGGGCGUAAAGGGCGACGGUAGGCGGAUGGCACAGUCAGAUGUGAAAUUCCCGGGCUUAACCCUGGGGCGUGCAUUUGAUACGUGUGAUCUAGAGUGAGGAAGAGGGUCGUGGAAUUCCCAGUGUAGAGGUGAAAUUCGUAGAUAUUGGGAAGAACACCGGUGGCGAAGGCGGCGACCUGGUCCUUGACUGACGCUGAGGCGCGAAAGCGUGGGGAGCAAACAGG